UACAGGGGGGGCAAGCGUUGUUCGGAAUUACUGGGCGUAAAGGGCCAGUAGGCGGCCAACUAAGUCCGACGUGAAAUCCCCAAGCUUAACUUGGGAUCUGCGUCGGAUACUGGAUGGCUUGAGUAUGGGAGAGGUAAGCGGAAUUCCUGGUGUAGCGGUGAAAUGCGUAGAUAUCAGGAGGAACACCUGCGGUGUAGACGGCUUACUGGACCAUAACUGACGCUGAGGAGCGAAAGCAUGGGGAGCGAACAGG
rnacentral:rRNA from 1 species